rnacentral:rRNA from 1 species
GAGUUUGAUCAUGGCUCAGGACGAACGCUGGCGGCGUGCCUAACACAUGCAAGUCGAGCGGGGUCCAUCCAGUGGCAACACUGGUGAAGACCUAGCGGCGAACGGGUGAGUAACACGUGAGAAACCUGCCCUGAAGUCUGGGAUAACCCGAGGAAACUCGAGCUAAUACCGGAUGCCCCCACCGAGUCGCAUGGCUUGGUGAGGAAAGAUUCAUCGCUUCAGGAGGGUCUCGCGGCCUAUCAGCUAGUUGGCGGGGUAACGGCCCACCAAGGCAUCGACGGGUAGCUGGUCUGAGAGGACGAUCAGCCACACUGGGACUGAGACACGGCCCAGACUCCUACGGGAGGCAGCAGUGGGAAUAUUGCGCAAUGGGCGAAAGCCUGACGCAGCAACGCCGCGUGCGGGAUGAAGGCCUUCGGGUUGUAAACCGCUUUCAGUGGGGACGAAAACAGACGGUACCCACAGAAGAAGCCCCGGCCAACUACGUGCCAGCAGCCGCGGUAACACGUAGGGGGCGAGCGUUGUCCGGAUUUAUUGGGCGUAAAGAGCUCGUAGGCGGCUCGGUAAGUGAGGUGUGAAAACUCCAGGCUCAACCUGGAGACGCCACCUCAUACUGCC